GACGAACGCUGGCGGCGUGGAUUAGGCAUGCAAGUCGAACGGUAUCAUCCUUUCGGGGGUGAGAGAGUGGCGAACUGGUGAGUAACACGUAGGUUAUCUACCCUCAAGACGGGGACAACCCAGGGAAACUUGGGCUAAUACCGGAUGUGAGCAACUUUUAGUUGUUUGAAAGGUGGCGUAAGCUGUCGCUUGGGGAUGAGCCUGCGUCCUAUUAGUUAGUUGGUGAGGUAACGGCUCACCUAGGCAAUGAUAGGUAGGCGGCCUUAACGGGUGGUCGCCCACACUGGGAUUGAGAUACGGCCCAGACUCCUACGGGAGGCAGCAGUCGAGAAUAGUCUACAAUGGUCGGAAGACUGAUAGUGCGACGCCGCGUGAACGAUGAAUCCCUUCGGGGUGUAAAGUUCUUUUAUAUGUGAGCAGUGCUUCUUAUAUUAACAGUAUGGGGAGAGAGAUAUUAGCAUAUAGAAUAAGACGAACGGCUAACUCCGUCCAGCAGCCGACGGUAACUCGU
rnacentral:rRNA from 1 species